rnacentral:tRNA from 1 species
GGCGCGGUAGCCAAGAGGAAAGGCGACUGUCUGCAAAACAGUUAUUCAGCGGUUCGAUUCCGCUCCGCGCCU